UCGAGAAUCAUUCACAAUGGGGGAAACCCUGAUGCAGCGACGCCGCGUGAGUGAAGAAGUAUUUCGGUAUGUAAAGCUCUAUCAGCAGGGAAGAUAAUGACGGUACCUGACUAAGAAGCCCCGGCUAACUACGUG
rnacentral:rRNA from 1 species